GUGUCCCUGCCGUGUGCGCGCGGCUUUCCGCACCCUUCUGAGCGGGAUAUGUGGGCCUGGUGCGUCUGGGUCCCCGAAUCCCUAGACCCCCGCACUCUGGUUCUGGCCGCCCGCUGGCACUAAGGACCCAGGGCCCGUGCUCUCCCCGACCUCAGUCUCCAGCCCCCGGCACCCCUCACAUCAUAACGAAUGCACGGCUGCUUAGCCCCUGUCCUGUCCCAAGACCUUUCCUUCCGGUUCCUUCCUCUUUGGCAACAGUCCCAUGAGGUAGGCAGGAAAAGAGGGGCCGAAAACCCCAUUUCCGUUUGAGGUAACUAAAGUACCCAGCGAGCAAGGUGACUUGCGCGUGUGUCUGUGUUUGUGUGUUUUAAUGAUUGGCGCCUUGCUUUGGGUUUCUCUUCUGUGUUCAACAAUUGAAAAAGAAAGCUACUAUCCCCCACCAAUCCCACCUAAACCUGUGCCCCCAAGACCCUCGUUUUCACCCAGCUGAACGAACAGGGCCGGGGCCCCCAUUUGCUCCCACUUGUCGGUAACAUUCUAUGGUAGGGCCCUCCCUGCCGCCCAGGGAAACCGGUGAAGGCAGGGCCAAAUCCUUGGUGACUAUGACUUAAUUUCUUCCCCAGCUACAAAGUCUUCUCUGUCCCACAUUCCCCACCACUUCUCGCCAGUAGAAUGGCGCCUUAUGGCUGAAGGUGACCUCCCUCCUCACUUAGAGCAUGUUUGCUUUUGAGAAGAUGAAUGAACAGGAGGAUGGGUGUUAAGCCAAAGGAAUUCAUCCUCAAUAGCAGUCCCCUAGACCAGAUUUGUUCUGUAGUGGUAUCGUGUUUGGCUCACUGUUGGCUCCUUCUUUAAAAAUUGGGAUAAUUUCAUGCAAACUCUGGCUCUCCCCCAUCAGUUGAGAUACUAGAAAAUCAGCCACAUGACACCCACACUGCUGCAUGGCAUGACCUGCUGCUGGUCAGCAGCUGCCAAGGUCAGAGAAUAGGCAAGUCCUUCCCACUGCUCCUGUUUUCUCAUGCCUGCCCAUCUCCUUAUUUUUACUUGCCCAGCCCCUGUAGGCAUGGAGUUUGCUGCUUUGGUGGGUGUUUGUUUUUUUUUUAAUAACUCGUCUUCCCAAGGGACAGUCGAGUCCUCAUGGCUCUGCUCCUCAGUGGCUGUGUGACUUUGAAGUAGCUAGCUACCUGGCCUCUCGGUGAGCACCAUUUUCCUCAUCCUUAAAAUUGAGGCAAUUGGCUGGACACGCUGGCUCACGCCUGUAAUCCCAGCACUCUGGGAGGCCAAGGCAGGCGGAUCACUUGAGGUCAGGAGUUUGAGACCAGCCUGGCCCACAUGGUGAAACCCUGUCACUACUAAAAAUACAAAAAUUAGCCAGGCGUGGUAGUGGGUGCCUGUAAUCCCAGCUACUCAGGAGGCUGAGGCAGGAGAAUCACUUGAACCUGGGAGGUGGAGGUUGCAGUGAGCCGAGAUCAAACUCUGCACUCCAGCCUGGAUGACAGAGUGAGACUCUUUGUCUUAAAAAAAAAAAAAUUGAGGCAAUAAAACCUUCCUCCCAUUGUGAUUAAAUGGGAUAGUGUGUUUAAAAGCACCUAGCAAAGUGCCUGACUCAAGGUGGGGUUCACUGAAAGUUAUUGAAAUCUGAAUCCUUAAGGCUGACUUUUAUUCCAUGAUCAGGCUGUGGCCCACCCACCUGACACGAAAGGGUCUCAAAGGUAUUUCGGAGAUUCCACUCUGUUUCUGUAGAAGUAGCAUUCAUGUUCACAGAUGCAGCUGGGCUGUGGGCAAACCUGUGAAGCAAGAAAAAAAGGAAACUUUCCCCAUCUUUUCUUUUCCUCUCUAAUCAGGCUCUACCAAAUGUAAAUCCUGCAUUUAGUCAUUCAGAUGGACUUAUAAGUUUCCAUAGUAUGUUAGACCUGGUAGGAGCCUUAGAGAUGGAGUAGUCUGGUUCCCUUAUUUUCCACAAGAGGAGACUGCAGCCCUGGAACAAUCGUCACACUAAAAUGUAAAUAAGGAAGAAAAUAAUUAUGAUUUUGAAAAGAAAACAACAGGCUGGGUGUGGUGGCUCAUGCCUAUAACCCCAACACUUUAGGAGGCUGAGGAAAGAAGAUUGCUUGAGGCCAGGAGUUUGAGACCAGCUUGGGUAACAUAGUGAGGCCCUGUUUCUACAAAAAAUUAAAAAGUAGCCAGGCCUGGUAGUGUGUGCCUGUAGUCCCAACAACUUGGAAGGCUGAGGCAGGAGGAUUGCUUGAGCCCAGGACUUCAAGGCUGCAGUGAGCUAGGAUUGUGCCACUGCACUCCAGGCUGACCCACAUAGCAAGACUCUUCCCUCAAAAAAUAAAAACAAUUUUUAAAUUAAAGAUAGAAAAGAAAAAUGACAGCCGUGCUUCCUCACUCUGCGGAAGGGGCUCAGGGAAACUUCCUGGGCCAACUUGUUGAAAAUGGGGGAAGGUGUCUAGUGAAGACAAGUCAAAGGAGUCACUGCCCCACAUGAGAAAGGAAAGAGGAGCUGGGGUUAGACUGGGAUGUAGAAAAGGGAAGAGAAAAGUCUUCAGGAAGCAAGAGAGGCCCAGGAAAAUGACAGUCAGCCAGGACCUAAAGGAGCCACAAGCAAAGAGAAAUUUAUUUUACUUUUUUUUUUUUUUUUUUGAGAUGGGGGAUCUCACUGUGUUGCUCAGGCUGGAGUGCAGUGGCACGAUCAUGGCUUACUGCAGCCUCAAUCUCUUCAGGCUCAGGUGAUCCUUCUACUUCAGCCUCCCAAGUAGCUGGGACUACAGGCACACACCACACCCAGCUAAUUUUUUGUAUUGUUAGUAGAGAUGGGGUUUUGGCAUGUUGCCCAGGCUGCUCUCGAACUCCUGGGGUCAAGCGAUCCACCCACCUCAGCCUCUCAAAGUGUUGGGAUUACAGGCUGAGCCACCUUUCCUGGUCUGGGCAAAGAAUUUGAACAGACGUUUCUCCAGAGAAAAUAUACACUGGCCAAUAAGCACAUGAAAAAAUGCUCAACAGCCAUGCGUGGUGGUUCACCCCUGUAACCCUAGCACUUAGGGAGGCCGCGGCGGGUGGAUCACGAGGUCAGGAGUUUGAGACCAGCCUGGCCAACAUGAUGAAACCCUGUCCCUACUAAAAAUACAAACAUUAGCUGGGCGUGGUGGCGUGAGCCUGUAGUCCUAGCCACUCGGGAGGCUGAGGCAGGAGAAUCACUUAAACCCAGGAGGCGGAGGUUGCAGUGAGCUGAGAGCAUGCCAUUGCACUCCAGCCUGGGCAAAAAGAGUGAACCUCCAUCUCAAACUAAAUAAAUAAAUAAAAAUAAAAAUUAGCUGGGCAUGGUGGCACAUGCCUGUAAUCCCGGCCACUCGGGAGGCUGAAGCAGGAGAAUUGCUUGAACCUGGGAGGCAGAGGUUGCGGUGAGCCAAGAUCGUGCCAUUACACUCCAGCCUGAGUGACAGUGCGAGACUCCUCAAAAAAAAAAGAAAGUUAAACAUAGAGUUACCCUAUGACCCAGCGAUUCUACUCCUAGGAAUCUACCCAACAGAACUGAAAACAUGUCUACAUAAACAUUUGUACACAAAUGUCCAUAGCAGCACUACUCACAAUAGCCAAAAUAUUGCAACAACCCAAAUGUUCAUCAGCUGAUGAUGGAUAAGCAGAAUGUGCUAUUUCUAUACAAUACAAUAUAUUAUUCAACCACAAAAAGCAAUGAAGUACUGCUGUGUGCCACAACAUGAAUGAAUCUCAAAAACAUAUUAAGGCCAGGGACAGUGGCUCAUGCCUGUAAUCCCAAC
rnacentral:lncRNA from 10 species